rnacentral:lncRNA from 1 species
UAUUUCCAUUGUAGUUCACAUAGGUUUUUAUUUAUGAUGUUAUCUUUUAGGUUUUAUAAGCAACUAAACAGCUGAUGUGAAAAUGUUGUUUAUUCUAAACGCACAAUACACAUUAAGAAUUUAAUACUUCAUUUUAUUGAUAUUUUAUGUUCCUGUUAACUAUACUAUAAUACAAGAACCUCCUGAUUAAACAGCAAGACCAGAAAGAUGUCAAGUAUGUCCUACAAAAAGGCCAGGAAAGCAAAAUACAUGUGCUACCAGUGUAAACAAUACAUGUGUAUGGAACGUGCUGUUGUCAUGUAUGAAGACUGAUUUAGGUGUGAUCACUGAAGUAAAAGUUUUUUUUUUUUUUUGGUACCAGGGAUCAAACUCAGGACCUUGAGCUUGUGUGGCAGGCACCGGAACCACUGAGCUAAAUCCCUGGCUCCGGUUGUUUUUUUUUAUAGCGUGCCAUUGGUAUUUUCACUAUAGUUCACAUAGGUUUUUAUUUCUAAUGUUAUCUUUUAGACUUUGUACACCAAAAACCAGUUGAUGUUGAAAUUUUUGAUGCUUUUUUAUAAACACUCAAUAAAUAUUAAAAAUGAAAUACUUUAUAUUUGUGAUUUUUUCCUGUUAAGCACUCAUAAAACUCAUAAAAUUAAAAUUAAUAGUUCAUCAAUAGAACUAUUCUAAAGAAUAAACUUGUGUUUGACACACCUAUGUUUAUGCACCUUUAAGACAAAAAAUGUGUUAUGCCCCAGAGAGUAAUGAUGAUUUAGGACCUUCACACUAAAUCACAUUCACAGCCUUUUCCUUCAUUUUUCUUCUCUGAUUUUUCUGAGACAGGGUCUCACAAUGUAGUUCACACUGGCUGUGAACUCUCUGUGUAACCCAGGCUGACCUUGAACUUGUGGCUAUCCUGCCUCAGUGUAAUCCAGAGUGCAAGGAUUCUAAAGUGUACACCACUAUGCCCCACUUGGUUGCCCUUCCUUCCUUCCUUUACUUCCUCCUUCUCCCCCUCCUUUCCUCCUCCUCCUCCUUCUCAAUCUCUCUCCUUCAAGAGUCUUGCUAAAUUGCCCGGGCAGGAAUGAAACCUGUGAUCCUCCUGCCUCAGCCUCCCAGAAUGCUGGUAUUACAGGAGUGGGCCUCUGUGUCCAGCCGAAACUAUCAAGUUUUAAACACUGAAGUAGAGGGAUUUACACUGCAUUCUUUAUAAUACAAAUUCUGUAAAAGGAAACAUGUAUUGAAAAUGCUGGGUUUGCAACUAACAUACUGCCAAAGAAUGAAUUAUAACCUGUGAUGAAAUUAUGUAUUCAGCAACAAUGAAUAGUAGAAGAGCAAAGUAGUAAUUAUACCAAUUAAAACUGAUUAGUUAGUAUGAACAUAAAAAGGCAUGCUCACUGUACUAUUAUACCAUGUGAGACCUUUGAUACAUUAAGAUAUUUGAUUCCUCUUUAAUAUUCCUUUUUGUAAUUGGAUAACUUCAGUGAAUUUUGGAUACUGGUAAUUCGUAUAAUUAUUCAUGAUAAAAUUUUAUUUGGUUAUGCUAAAAGUUUUCAAUGUUUUAUGUUACUAUGGUUUCUAAUUUUCUAAUCUGUUUUUCUUGAGUUAUUGGAAUACUAUCACUUUAUCUACUUUAAAAAGUAGAACAAAGUAAUCCAAAAGUGCAUCAAUGCCAUUUUUGUUUACUUAAAAAAAAUUAGGAUAAGGGCAGUGGUGUAAUUGCUAUUCAAUGUAAAGAAGAGCUAUGGCCAGGUGUGGUGACUCAUGCCUGCAAUCCUCGCCCUCUGGGAGGCUGAAGCAGGAAGAUUGCAAGUUCAAGCCCAGUUCAGACAAUCCUCCAAGACAUUGUCUCAAUAAAUAAAUAAACAAAGGUGGCCCUGGGUUCAAGCCACAAUACCACAAAAAAAAGGGUAGAGCUCUCUUUGCAGAUCUUGAAACUAUGAAUUGGACAGUUGAGCAGAGUAACUUGAUAAUCUUAGACUUUCAGUAAACUGAGCCCCCCAUAUUGAUUGAUUGAUUGAUUGAUUGAUUGGUACCAGGGAUUGAACUCGGGUCCUUGCACUUGCAAGGCAGGCGCUGGAACCACUGAGCUAAAUCCCCAGCCCUUUAUUUAUUAUUUUUAAGAGAAUGAAGUCAUGUGGGAUUAGUUUAUUCUUUAUCUUUUUUUUUUGGUACCGGGUAUCAAACUUGGGAUCUUGGGCUUUCGAGGCAAGCACCGGAACCACUGAGAUAAAUCAGCAGCCCUAAGAUUAAUUUAAACAUUUAAAGUGGAAAAAAAUGAAGUAUUCUCUAAUAUGUAAAAUACCAGAGUAAAUUUAAUUACCUCUAUUUUCUCAGGUCAUGGAAAGAGUAGACAAGUAUAAACUGCUACCUGGAUAAUUUAAUGUUUGUUUUCGUGGUGUUGGGGAUUAAACCCAGGGCAAUAUGCAUGCCUAGCAAGUGCUCUAUCAUUGAGCCACACCCCUACCCUCUCACAGCCCCCUAAUGGAAGGGGCUGGUUUUCAUGGUACUGAGUAGGUACUGAACCUAGAGAAUGCUGAGCUACAUCCUAGUCCUAUUUUCAUUUUGAGACACAGUCUUAUCAAAAUUCCCAGGCUGGCCCAGAACUUGUGAUCCUCCUGCUUCAGCCUACUAGGUGUGCACAACUACUGUGUGUGUUGUGUGUUACUGUGUGUUGAACCCAGGGGCACUGUAACACUGAGCUACCUCCCUAGCCCUUUUUAAAUUUUGAAACAGGCUCUAAGUUGCCUAGGGUGGCCUAGAACUUGCUCCUGCCUCAGCCUCCUGAGUAGCUGGGAUCACAGUAUGUGCCAUGUUUGAUGGGGUGGGGGGGGUAGAUAUCAGGAGAGAUAGACAAGGUGUGCAGGACUAAAGGAAUGCUGAGGUAAGAUGAAGCUGAGUUUUACUGUCCUGAAUUAGGCACCCUUAAUGUUCCUACAGAAAUUGUAUGACAAAAAUAUUUUAGGAUCUCAGGCUAGGUGUGGUGGUACACACUUGUAACCCCAGCACUCAGGAGGCUAAGGCAGGUAGAGGGUGGCCUGGGCUAUAAUGUGAGACCCUGUCUCAAGAAAACAACCAAAAAGAAGUUUUAGGGUAUUGGUGUUAGGGUAACCAUGUUAAUACUUCUCCUUCUAUGAUAUUUAAAGCAUUUCUUUUCACAUAUUGAAGCACAAUGGGACAUUGAGGGUGACUUUCAUUUUAUUUCUAGGUUCUGCAGAGUGAGAUUAUUCAUUCAAAGGAACAAAAUUUAGUUUUUAUAAAAUAUUAAGGCACCUUUUAAAGCAUUUCUGUCUGUAGCAAAUUAUAUGAAAAUUAGUAUUACUAGUGUACUUCCUUCUGUUCUCUUCAGCUAGCUAGAUAUACUCUCAUAAUAAAAUUUUUUAUGCUACUGCAAAAUCAGUUUUGGGAAAAUAAGCUUUAACUUUAGGUAACUUAAAACACUGCUGUAAGCCAGGUAUGGUGGUACACACCUGUAAUCCCAGCUACUCAGGAGGCUGAGGCAGAAGGAUCACUUGAGCACAGGAGUUCCAGAAGAGCCUGGGCAACACAGUGAGACUUAAUCUCUUAAUAGUCUCAAAAAAAAAAAAAGUCUCACACUAGGUAUAGUGGUGCAUGCUGGUGAUCCCAGCAUUUUGGAGGCUGAUACUGUUGGGUAUUUUGUCUCAGCAAUGAGAAAGGGAAUUAAGACAGUGCACUAUCCCUAAGACCACAAGAAGAUAACCUGACUCAGGCCUGGCCAACCUGCCAAUCUCUAAGAUCACAGAGAUGAUUUAAGUCUGGAACUGCCUGUGACUUUGACUCCUAAUGCCUAUAGGCGGGAGGAAAUAAAUCUAGGAAAGGAGAAAUGGAAAGCAAGAUAACAUUAAAUCCCUGAAUUUAGUUUACCCUGCAAUUAGUUUCACCUCUGCUCUCACCAGUUAAAUGAACCAAUAAAUCUCCUUUCAUUCCAUAAGGUAGUUUUAGUUAGCUUUCUGUCACUACAAAUCAGUUUGAAUGUGCAGAAGUACUUUCUAAGAAUAGAGGAAGCAAAGAGGAUCUAAUGUAGUAAGUGCUGGUCCUUAGAGUCCAAAUCAAAUUGAAACAUGUAUAAGCUUUCAUUCAGAACUAAGUUUACACAAUGUUCCAUUAGCUCAUCUUAUGUUCUUUUUUCUUCUUCAGUGCUGAUUAUGGAACCCAGGGCCUUGAGUAUGCUAGGCAAGUGCUCUACCACCGAGCUACAUCCCUAUCUCCCAUUUUAUUUAUCUUUGAUUCCAUGGUAUCCAACAAAUUUGUACUAGAAAUAAAUAAAAUAUGAGGUUUUUAUCUACAAUUACAUGUUCUUCUGGAAUCAAAUAAAAAGUACUUUCUGAGCUGGGUAUGGUAGCACAUGCAUGUUAUCUCAGCACUCUGGUACGCUGAGGCAAGAGGAUCAAAAUUUCGAGCCUAUCCUGGACAAUUGCACAGCUUAGCAAGACUCUGCCUCAAUAUAAAAAAGGAAAAAAGGAAAAACAAACAAACAAACAAAAGGGAUGGGGCUGUAGCACAGUGUGAAGGCCUUGGAGUCAAUCCCCAAAACGCAAACAAAAAAGUACCUUCUGAUAAACAGUGGCUAUCUUUGAGUGGCAGGUUUAUGAAUAAUUUUCAUUUUCUUCUUUUUGCCUGCAUUUCUGAAUUGCCCCUAAAA